AAAGGCUGCGGUGUGUAAAACGCUGUGUCAUUGGCUUGUGGUGUGAGCGCACACACAUCGUAACCAUGACUGCAUGAGAGCAGCAGCACUUAUAAACAAAACAAUUAAAUUGGAGCAAUGCUGUGACAAAUAUUCUCUGCACUGCGUCAUGCCGCUGACUGGAUAGCAUCUUGCUGUUGCUCCUCUAAGAAGGACAGGAUGGCAGCAGGAUGUCUGUACCAGUGUAAAGGGCAGAAAGUGUGGACAGUCUCUGGUGGUGAAACACCAUCCAGUCCGAAUCUUCCUUAAUUCCUCUCAGCAGAAUGAACAGAAAAGAUGGCCUUCAUCUGUCCACAUCCAGCAUGUCGGUCUGUGUUGCUCUGUAGUUGUUAUAAUGAUGACUUGUCUGAAAACUCCUUGUUGGGAAGCUGGAUAAUGUCUGACAGCUGACAAUUGCAGCAGUGGCUCAGAGGUGACUUACACCUGUACUGUAUGUACGAAUCACCUAUAUGGUAAAAUACUAAUCCAAUGAAUGAAAUAAAUUUUAGUUGAGAUCAUCUAA